UACAGAGGGUGCGAGCGUUAAUCGGAAUUACUGGGCGUAAAGCGCACGUAGACGGUUUGGUAAGUCAGAUGUGAAAUCCCCGGGCUCAACCUGGGAACUGCACUUGAUACUGCCUGGCUAGAGUAUCGAAGAGGGAAGUGGAAUUUCCGGUGUAGCGGUGAAAUGCGUAGAUAUCGGAAGGAACACCGAUGGCGAAGGCAGGUCUCUGGGCUGACACUGACGCUCAUGCACGAAAGCGUGGGGAGCAAACAGG
rnacentral:rRNA from 1 species